GAUGAACGCUAGCGAUAGGCUUAACACAUGCAAGUCGAGGGGCAGCAUGGUCUUAGCUUGCUAAGACUGAUGGCGACCGGCGCACGGGUGCGUAACGCGUAUGCAACUUGCCUCACAGAGGGGGAUAACCCGUCGAAAGACGGACUAAUACCGCGUACACUCUAUUUUGGGCAUCCAAGGUAGAGGAAAUGAAAUUCGCUGUGAGAUAGGCAUGCGUCCCAUUAGCUAGUUGGUGAGGUAACGGCUCACCAAGGCGACGAUGGGUAGGGGAACUGAGAGGUUGAACCCCCACACUGGUACUGGGACACGGACCAGACUCCUACGGGAGGCAGCAGUGAGGAAUAUUGAUCAAUGGGCGAGAGCCUGAACCAGCCAAGUCGCGUGAAGGAUGACUGUCUUAUGGAUUGUAAACUUCUUUUGUAGGGGAAUAAAGAGGGGCACGUGUGCCCCAGUGAAUGUACCCUACGAAUAAGCAUCGGCUAACUCCGUG
rnacentral:rRNA from 1 species